AUGGGAGAGCACCUGCCGGAAAGCCCAGCAAGCCAUCGCUGCAGUCGACGAGUGCGGCUCUGCACACGGGCAUGCAGUUCUGCCCACGGUGAAGUGCAGCUCGACCAACAGGGACCUGCAGUUCUGCCCAUGCCGUCGAAGGAUUCUAACUCUGCACAUGGGCGCGCAGUACUGCCCGUGAGGAAGUGCAGCUCGACCAACGGGGGCCUGCAGUUCUGCCCACGGUGUCGAAAGCUUCUACUAUAUAAAUGGGCGUGUAUGACUGCCGGUGGGGGUGCAGCUCGAACGAAGAACAGGGUCGACGCUGGAGUUCGGUUCAGAAGUUGGAGGUCGUGUAGCUCGAUUGGUGCUCCCCCAGUGCAGCUCAUAACAAUUUCUCUGUUUAGAUAUGCGGUGUAG
rnacentral:rRNA from 1 species